rnacentral:rRNA from 1 species
GACGUAGGGCGCGAGCGUUGUCCGGAUUUAUUGGGCGUAAAGAGCUCGUAGGCGGCUUGUUGCGUCGGCUGUGAAAACCCGUGGCUUAACUGCGGGCUUGCAGCUGAUACGGGCGGGCUGGAGUUCGGUAGGGGAGACUGGAAUUCCUGGUGUAGCGGUGAAAUGCGCAGAUAUCAGGAGGAACACCGGUGGCGAAGGCGGCAUCCUGGACCGAGAUUGACGCUGAGGCGCGAAAGCCAGGGGAGCAAACGGG